rnacentral:rRNA from 1 species
GAUGAACGCUGGCGGCGCGCCUAACACAUGCAAGUUCGAAACGGCACCCCUCUCCGGAGGGAAGCGAGUGGCGAACGGCUGAGUAACACGCGGAGAAACCCGCCCCCUCCCCCGGGAUAGCCGCCCGAAAGGACGGGUAAUACCGGAUACCCCGGGGUGCCGCAUGGCACCCCGGCUAAAGCCCCGACGGGAGGGGAUGGCUCCGCGGCCCAUCAGGUAGACGGCGGGGUGACGGCCCACCGUGCCGACAACGGGUAGCCGGGUUGAGAGACCGACCGGCCAGAUUGGGACUGAGACACGGCCCAGACUCCUACGGGAGGCAGCAGUGGGGAAUCUUGCGCAAUGGGGGGAACCCUGACGCAGCGACGCCGCGUGCGGGACGGAGGCCUUCGGGUCGUAAACCGCUUUCAGCAGGGAAGAGUCAAGACUGUACCUGCAGAAGAAGCCCCGGCUAACUACGUGCCAGCAGCCGCGGUAAUACGUAGGGGGCGAGCGUUAUCCGGAUUCAUUGGGCGUAAAGCGCGCGUAGGCGGCCCGGCAGGCCGGGGGUCGAAGCGGGGGGCUCAACCCCCCCCGAAGCCCCCGGAACCUCCCGCGGCUUGGGUCCGGUAGGGGAGGGUGGAACACCCGGUGUAGCGGUGGAAUGCACAGAUAUCGGGUGGAACACCGGUGGCGAAGGCGGCCCUCUGGGCCGAGACCGACGCUGGGGCGCGAAAGCUGGGGGAGCGAACAGGAUUAGAUACCCUGGUAGUCCCAGCCGUAAACGAUGGACGCUAGGUGUGGGGGGACGAUCCCCCCGUGCCGCAGCCAACGCAUUAAGCGUCCCGCCUGGGGAGUACGGCCGCAAGGCUAAAACUCAAAGGAAUUGACGGGGGCCCGCACAAGCAGCGGAGCAUGUGGCUUAAUUCGAAGCAACGCGAAGAACCUUACCAGGGCUUGACAUAUGGGUGAAGCGGGGGAGACCCCGUGGCCGAGAGGAGCCCAUACAGGUGGUGCAUGGCUGUCGUCAGCUCGUGUCGUGAGAUGUUGGGUUAAGUCCCGCAACGAGCGCAACCCCCGCCGCGUGUUGCCAUCGGGUGAUGCCGGGAACCCACGCGGGACCGCCGCCGUCAAGGCGGAGGAGGGCGGGGACGACGUCAAGUCAUCAUGCCCCUUAUGCCCUGGGCUGCACACGUGCUACAAUGGCCGGUACAGAGGGAUGCCACCCCGCGAGGGGGAGCGGAUCCCGGAAAGCCGGCCCCAGUUCGGAUUGGGGGCUGCAACCCGCCCCCAUGAAGUCGGAGUUGCUAGUAAUCGCGGAUCAGCAUGCCGCGGUGAAUGCGUUCCCGGGCCU